rnacentral:rRNA from 1 species
AGUGAACGCUGGCGGUAGGCCUAACACAUGCAAGUCGAACGGCAGCACAGAGGAGCUUGCUCCUUGGGUGGCGAGUGGCGGACGGGUGAGGAAUACAUCGGAAUCUACUCUGUCGUGGGGGAUAACGUAGGGAAACUUACGCUAAUACCGCAUACGACCUACGGGUGAAAGCAGGGGACCUUCGGGCCUUGCGCGAUUGAAUGAGCCGAUGUCGGAUUAGCUAGUUGGCGGGGUAAAGGCCCACCAAGGCGACGAUCCGUAGCUGGUCUGGGAGGAUGAUCAGCCACACUGGAACGUAGACACGGUCCAGACUCCGACGGGAGGCAGCAGUGGGGAAUAUUGGACAAUGGGCGCAAGCCUGAUCCAGCCAUACCGCGUGGGUGAAGAAGGCCUUCGGGUUGUAAAGCCCUUUUGUUGGGAAAGAAAUCCAGCUGGCUAAUACCCGGUUGGGAUGACGGUACCCAAAGAAUAAGCACCGGCUAACUUCGUGCCAGCCGCCGCAGUAA